rnacentral:rRNA from 1 species
GAUGAACGCUAGCGGCAGGCCUAACACAUGCAAGUCGAGGGGUAGAGGAAGCUUGCUUCCUUGAGACCGGCGCACGGGUGCGUAACGCGUAUGCAAUCUACCUUUUACAGAGGGCUAGCCCAGAGAAAUUUGGAUUAAUACCUAAUAGUAUAUAUCAUUCGCAUGUUUGGUAUAUUAAAGUUCCAACGGUAAAAGAUGAGCAUGCGUCCCAUUAGUUAGUUGGUAAGGUAACGGCUUACCAUGACGAUGAUGGGUAGGGGUCCUGAGAGGGAGAUCCCCAAAGCUGGUAAUGAGACGCGGACCAAACUCCUGCGGGAGGCAGCAGUGAGGAAUAUUGGUCAAUGGACGCAAGUCUGAACCAGCCAUGCCGCGUGCAGGAAGACGGUCCUAUGGAUUGUAAACUGCUUUUGUACGGGAAGAAACACUCCUACGUGUAGGAGCCUGACGGUACCGUAAGAAUAAGGAUCGGCUAACGCCGUGCCAGCAGCCGCCGCGGUAA